rnacentral:SRP_RNA from 1 species
AACCGGGUCCUGCGCGGCGGAACCUUCGAACCGUGUCAGGGUCGUGAGGCAGCAGCACUAAGGAGUCCUUCCGGGUGCCGCAGGUCCCCCGGCUCGA